rnacentral:rRNA from 1 species
UACGUAGGAUGCGAGCGUUAUCCGGAUUUAUUGGGUUUAAAGGGUGCGUAGGCGGACUGUUAAGUCAGCGGUAAAAGCCCGGGGCUCAACCCCGGCGAGCCGUUGAAACUGGCUGUCUUGAGAUGUCGAGAGGUAUGCGGAAUGCGCAGUGUAGCGGUGAAAUGCUUAGAUAUUGCGCAGAACUCCGAUUGCGAAGGCAGCAUACCGGCGGCGAUCUGACGCUGAGGCACGAAAGCGUGGGUAUCGAACAGG